rnacentral:rRNA from 1 species
UACGUAGGGCGCAAGCGUUGUCCGGAAUCAUUGGGCGUAAAGAGCUCGUAGGCGGCCUGUUGCGUCCGCUGUGAAAUCCCGGGGCUUAACCCCGGGCGUGCAGUGGAUACGGGCAGACUAGAGGCAUGCAGGGGAGAACGGAAUUCCUGGUGUAGCGGUGAAAUGCGCAGAUAUCAGGAGGAACACCGGUGGCGAAGGCGGUUCUCUGGGCAUGUCCUGACGCUGAGGAGCGAAAGUGUGGGGAGCGAACAGG